UGGUCCGUCUAGGCGCCUGCGCCGUGCGGGAGGAAGGGGUCAGCGGCGCAGACAACUGGCGGAGGUAUCUGUUGCGCCUGCGCAUUAUAUGUUCUCUGGAAGGGAGGAAGCAUGGCUGGAAGUCAUGGCAUCCCAGUCUCGAUUCUAUUCCAGUCCCAGAAGCUGAGGACCUAACCUGCCCUCCGCCUGGGAACCUCUACACUCACAGACAUGACUCUGCUUGAAAGGGGUUUGGGGAAACAGAGUGAAUGAAGCAGAGCUAUCCUUCCAGUUGCAGGGGGCACAGCCCACCAUCCCUUGUGGGAGUCGAACAGGCAACCUUCGGCGUUAGGAGCAUGGACGUCCAACCGCCUGAGCCACCGGGCCUGCCCAAUGCAAUGCACCUUUGCCCCACUGAUUCAUCAUGCCUUCUCUAUCAUAAUUGAGUUUCUGUCUAUGUGUGAGUUCAUUUUUGGAGUCUCUGUUCUGUUUCACUGGUCUGUUUAUCUCAAAGCCACACUCUCUUAAUUAUAGGAGCUUUCCAUGAAGUCUUGAUGUCCAACAGGAUAAGCCCUUCCAGUUUGUUCUUCGGAAUUAUCUUAGCUCUUCUUGGUCCUAGUUCUCCUGUCAGGCUUGUGGUGUUUCACCAGUCUCCACAUUCUAUGCCAUCAUGGUUCUGUGAAGCAUUUGGAUUUUCUCAUCUCAGGGUGUUUGUCUCCCUUUGCUUGGUACAUUCUUUCCUCCUUUUUGAGAUGUGUAAGAACUUUACUAUCAUGAUUUGUGGCUCAACAUUGGGGUUUUUGCAGUUUGAACUCUGAGACUAUGUACAGAGCAUGACUUGGAAACUGCCUGUAGAACCAACAGUCUCUCUGUGCUCUUUAAUUUCUGUCGUUAAGUAACCCCAUAGCUUUAGUUUUACAAGCUUGAACUGGAACUAGGACAUUGAUAAAUGCCUAAUCAGAUGUCACCUGUCGUUCCUAGAUCACAGCCCCACUUGCUGACCACUGCUGAGUCAGCCUACCAUUGAAAAGUCCAGUUGCCCCCACCAAUCAGAAAACGAAUGGUUAACUUUGUGAUCUUGUUUCCCAUAGCAACCCAUCUCUUUGAUCAACAACUCCUUGUAACUUUUGCCGAUCAAAACCUAGCCCGAUCCCCUCCAUUUUGGAACAUGUCUUUGGUUCAUAUUGAGGGCUAUGUCCUUGAUUUGCAAAUCAUAUAUGAAUAAAACUCUCUUUUAAUUUCCUUUGGAAUUUUUGUUAACAUCUUCACUUGGCAUCUCUCAGUCAUCCUUCAGGACUCAGCUGGGGCUGUCUAUUUUUCUGAGAAGAUUGUGUUUGGAGCCCUGCUCUGUGCCGUUACUAUUUGGACAUUUAUCACACUGCAUUUUACUUGCCUGUGCCUUGGACUGGCUAUGCAAUUUGCUGGGCCCAGUACACAAUGAAAAUGUGAGUCCUUUUGCUCAAAAAAUGGUUAAUGAUUUAAAGAUGGUGACAGCAGGGCAUUAAACCAAGCACAGGACCUUCUAAGCACAGAACCCUGUGUAACAACACAAGUUGCACACUCAUGUGAACGAAAAAGGGGCUGUGUAAUAAACCUGAUAAGUUCAGUGACUGAAAGUUACUUCACAGGGUGAUCUGAUCCUAAAUUCCUAA